rnacentral:rRNA from 1 species
GCCCUAGUAACGGCGAGUGAAGCGGCAACAGCUCAAAUUUGAAAUCUGGCUCUCGGGCCCGAGUUGUAAUUUGUAGAGGAUACUUUUGAUGCGGUGCCUUCCGAGUUCCCUGGAACGGGACGCCAUAGAGGGUGAGAGCCCCGUCUGGUUGGAUGCCAAAUCUCUGUAAAGUUCCUUCGACGAGUCGAGUAGUUUGGGAAUGCUGCUCUAAAUGGGAGGUAUAUGUCUUCUAAAGCUAAAUACCGGCCAGAGACCGAUAGCGCACAAGUAGAGUGAUCGAAAGAUGAAAAGCACUUUGAAAAGAGAGUUAAAAAGUACGUGAAAUUGUUGAAAGGGAAGCGUUUAUGACCAGACUUGGGCUUGGUUAAUCAUCUGGGGUUCUCCCCAGUGCACUUUUCCAGUCCAGGCCAGCAUCAGUUUUCCCCGGGGGAUAAAGACUUCGGGAAUGUGGCUCUCUUCGGGGAGUGUUAUAGCCCGUUGUGUAAUACCCUGGGGGGGACUGAGGUUCGCGCAUCUGCAAGGAUGCUGGCGUAAUGGUCAUCAACGACCCGUCUUGAAACACGGACCAAGGAGUCGUCUUCGUAUGCGAGUGUUCGGGUGUCAAACCCCUACGCGUAAUGAAAGUGAACGCAGGUGAGAGCUUCGGCGCAUCAUCGACCGAUCCUGAUGUUCUCGGAUGGAUUUGAGUAAGAGCAUACGGGGCCGGACCCGAAAGAAGGUGAACUAUGCCUGUAUAGGGUGAAGCCAGAGGAAACUCUGGUGGAGGCUCGCAGCGGUUCUGACGUGCAAAUCGAUCGUCAAAUAUGGGCAUGGGGGCGAAAGACUAAUCG